rnacentral:rRNA from 1 species
GACGAACGUUGGCGGCGUGCUUAAUACAUGCAAGUCAACUGAAGCAGUGGUAGCAAUAUCGCUGUGGAGGUGGCGCACGGGUGAGUAACACGUAGGUAAUCUGCCUUCAGGUCUGGCAUAACUCCGGGAAACCGGGGCUAAUAGCAGAUGAUGCAGCGGCUCGACAUCGAGACAGUUGUUAAAGCUAUGGCGCCUGAAGAUGAGCCUGCGUCUGAUUAGCUAGUUGGCGGGGUAACGGCCCACCAAGGCAACGAUCAGUAGCUGGUCUGAGAGGAUGAUCAGCCACACUGGAACGGAGACACGGUCCAGACUCCUACGGGAGGCAGCAGUAAGGAAUAUUGCUCAAUGGGAGAAAUCCUGAAGCAGCAACGCCGCGUGAGGGACGAAGGGCUUUUGCUUGUAAACCUCUGUAGUGAGAGAAAAAAAUCCCAAUCUUUGGGACAUGAUGGUAUCUCAAAAGUAAGCCCCGGCUAACCACGUG